ensembl:snRNA U6 U6 spliceosomal RNA
GUGCUCUGGCACCACGUCUACUAAAACUGGAAUGAUACGAGAAGAUGAGCAUGGCCCCUGUCUUAGCAAUACAAGAAAAAGAAAUAGUCCUAAUCCCAAAUUGU